GAUCAAUAUAGUUGGGGUGCAGAUACAGGCCUUCCCCUAGGGAAACACUUGCAUCAGUAUUAGUGAGAGACCAAGUACACAUCUGAAGCAUUCCUGUGCUUUCUGUCCACUUGUCAGGUGAAGUUGCCACGUAUGACUGUCCAUCAGCCAGGAGAUGAACCCCCACCCGUGAGGCAGUGACUCAAGGUGCAAGGGAGUCCGGCAAGAAGUGUGGCGCACCCGAGUUGCUGCCACUGCUUUUUGGAUCACCCAGCACGUGGCUGAAUUGCAACUCCUGUCACGUGCUUGAGUCUUGGAGGUCGCCAUGGACUAUGCUGUGGUCCUAGGCCUGCAUUCCUCCUGCAGGUUGGCCAGAGGCCCAGAGAAGAAUGUUUGUGCAGGUCUUCUGAAGUCUUCCUGAAAGCAUCCCUGGUGAUCUGUGAGCCCUUGGUCGUGUUGCCCGCCUUCUUCCUGUGGGUCUUGCUGGAUGCUCAUUGUCCCUGUGAGCCGAGGCCCUGGAGGCUUCAGAUUUAGGUGAAGUUGCCACGUAUGACUGUCCAUCAGCCAGGAGAUGAACCCCCACCCGUGAGGCAGUGACUCAAGGUGCAAGGGAGUCCGGCAAGAAGUGUGGCGCACCCGAGUUGCUGCCACUGCUUUUUGGAUCACCCAGCACGGUACGGCUUCUCCUGCCCCAAGACGUGUUGUGAAUUUCAGGUUUCCUGGGACUGCCUGAGUGGUUGUACGUAUACAGGGACCGU
rnacentral:lncRNA from 1 species